rnacentral:rRNA from 1 species
GCUCCCGGAUGUUAGCGGCGGACGGGUGAUAAACACGUGGGUAACCUGCCUGUAAGACUGGGAUAACUCCGGGAAACCGGAGCUAAUACCGGAUAGUUCCUUGAACCGCAUGGUUCAAGGAUGAAAGACGGUUUCGGCUGUCACUUACAGAUGGACCCGCGGCGCAUUAGCUAGUUGGUGGGGUAAUGGCUCACCAAGGCGACGAUGCGUAGCCGACCUGAGAGGGUGAUCGGCCACACUGGGACUGAGACACGGCCCAGACUCCUACGGGAGGCAGCAGUAGGGAAUCUUCCGCAAUGGACGAAAGUCUGACGGAGCAACGCCGCGUGAGUGAUGAAGGUUUUCGGAUCGUAAAGCUCUGUUGUUAGGGAAGAACAAGUGCGAGAGUAACUGCUCGCACCUUGACGGUACCUAACCAGAAAGCCACGGCUAACUACGUGCCAGCAGCCGCGGUAAUACGUAGGUGGCAAGCGUUGUCCGGAAUUAUUGGGCGUAAAGGGCUCGCAGGCGGUUUCUUAAGUCUGAUGUGAAAGCCCCCGGCUCAACCGGGGAGGGUCAUUGGAAACUGGGAAACUUGAGUGCAGAAGAGGAGAGUGGAAUUCCACGUGUAGCGGUGAAAUGCGUAGAGAUGUGGAGGAACACCAGUGGCGAAGGCGACUCUCUGGUCUGUAACUGACGCUGAGGAGCGAAAGCGUGGGGAGCGAACAGGAUUAGAUACCCUGGUAGUCCACGCCGUAAACGAUGAGUGCUAAGUGUUAGGGGGUUUCCGCCCCUUAGUGCUGCAGCUAACGCAUUAAGCACUCCGCCUGGGGAGUACGGUCGCAAGACUGAAACUCAAAGGAAUUGACGGGGGCCCGCACAAGCGGUGGAGCAUGUGGUUUAAUUCGAAGCAACGCGAAGAACCUUACCAGGUCUUGACAUCCUCUGACAACCCUAGAGAUAGGGCUUUCCCUUCGGGGACAGAGUGACAGGUGGUGCAUGGUUGUCGUCAGCUCGUGUCGUGAGAUGUUGGGUUAAGUCCCGCAACGAGCGCAACCCUUGAUCUUAGUUGCCAGCAUUCAGUUGGGCACUCUAAGGUGACUGCCGGUGACAAACCGGAGGAAGGUGGGGAUGACGUCAAAUCAUCAUGCCCCUUAUGACCUGGGCUACACACGUGCUACAAUGGACAGAACAAAGGGCUGCAAGACCGCAAGGUUUAGCCAAUCCCAUAAAUCUGUUCUCAGUUCGGAUCGCAGUCUGCAACUCGACUGCGUGAAGCUGGAAUCGCUAGUAAUCGCGGAUCAGCAUGCCGCGGUGAAUACGUUCCCGGGCCUUGUACACACCGCCCGUCACACCAAGUGAGUUUGCAACACCCGAAGUCGGUGAGGUAAC